rnacentral:rRNA from 1 species
GGGAUUGCCCUAGUAACGGCGAGUGAAGCGGCAAGAGCUCAAAUUUGAAAGCUGGCCCCCUCGGGGUCCGCAUUGUAAUUUGCAGAGGAUGCUUCGGGAACGGCCCCCAUCUAAGUGCCCUGGAACGGGCCGUCAUAGAGGGUGAGAAUCCCGUCUGGGAUGGGGUGGCCGCGCCCGUGUGAAGCUCCUUCGACGAGUCGAGUUGUUUGGGAAUGCAGCUCUAAUUGGGUGGUAAAUUUCAUCUAAAGCUAAAUAUUGGCCGGAGACCGAUAGCGCACAAGUAGAGUGAUCGAAAGAUGAAAAGCACUUUGAAAAGAGAGUUAAACAGCACGUGAAAUUGUUGAAAGGGAAGCGCUUGCGACCAGACUCGCCCGCGGGGUUCAGCCGGCACUCGUGCCGGUGUACUUCCCCGCGGGCGGGCCAGCGUCGGUUUGGGCGGCCGGUCAAAGGCCUCUGGAAGGUAACGCCUCUCGGGGCGUCUUAUAGCCAGGGGUGCCAUGCGGCCUGCCCGGACCGAGGAACGCGCUUCGGCUCGGACGCUGGCAUAAUGGUCGUAAGCGACCCGUCUUGAAACACGGACCAAGGAGUCUAACAUCUACGCGAGUGUUCGGGUGUCAAACCCGUGCGCGCAGUGAAAGCGAACGGAGGUGGGAACCCCCCGGGGUGCACCAUCGACCGAUCCUGAUGUCUUCGGAUGGAUUUGAGUAAGAGCGUAGCUGUUGGGACCCGAAAGAUGGUGAACUAUGCCUGAAUAGGGCGAAGCCAGAGGAAACUCUGGUGGAGGCUCGCAGCGGUUCUGACGUGCAAAUCGAUCGUCAAAUUUGGGUAU